UAAGCUCUUUUCCAGUAUGGUUACGGUACAGGGAAUGCGGACGAGCCGCAGCGGACCCGCCACUGUAAUCGGGGAUGAAAGCAGCACUACCCAUUGCGCAGUUUAUCCAGGCACAAUUCCGUGCUGGAAAACCGGUGUGAGAAGGAGCUGUGAGUAACAUGAUCCGGAAGCCAGGAUACCUACCGUGACUCGAGCAUCCCUC
rnacentral:ncRNA from 20 species